AUUGAACGCUGGCGGCGUGCUUAACACAUGCAAGUCGAUCGGUAACGCGGGGGCAACCCUGGCGACGAGAGGCGGACGGGUGAGGAACGCUUGGGAAUCUGCCUAUCAGCGGGGGACAACACGGGGAAACUCGUGCUAAUACCGCAUACGCUCUACGGAGGAAAGCCGGGGACCGCAAGGCCUGGCACUGAUAGAUGAGCCCAAGCCGGAUUAGCUAGUUGGCGGGGUAACGGCCCACCAAGGCGACGAUCCGUAGCUGGUCUGAGAGGACGAUCAGCCACACUGGGACUGAGACACGGCCCAGACUCCUACGGGAGGCAGCAGUGGGGAAUAUUGGACAAUGGGGGAAACCCUGAUCCAGCGACGCCGCGUGGGUGAAGAAGGCCUGCGGGUUGUAAAGCCCUUUCGGUAGGGACGAAAGCUCUCGACCUAACACGUCGGGGGGUUGACUUAACCUACAAAAGAAGCACCGGCUAACUCUGUGCCAGCAGCCGCGGUAA
rnacentral:rRNA from 1 species